CCCUUAGAUGUUCUGGGCUGCACGCGCGCUACACUGAUACAAUCAAUGAGAUAUUUUUGCCGACGGGUGAAGAGAAAUCUUCUGAAUUUGUAUCGUGAUGGGAACAAACGCUUGAAAUUAUUCGUUUCGAACGAGGAAUUCCUAGUAAGCGUGAGUCAUCAGCUCAUGCUGAUUACGUCCCUGCCCUUUGUACACACCGCCCGUCGCUCCUACCGAUUGGAUGAUCCGGUGAGCAAGUCUGACACGGGUUUUCCAGUUGACGGGGAAACUGUGGAUGUCUCGCAAACCUUAUUAUUUAGAGGAAGGAGAAGUCGUAACA
rnacentral:rRNA from 1 species